rnacentral:rRNA from 1 species
CAUGCAUGUGUAAGUAUAAGUUAAAUAAUGCGAAACUGCGGAAGGCUCAUUAUAACAGUUAUAGUUUUGAUGGUUAGUAAAAAAAGGAUAACUCUUGUUAAUUGCAGAGCUAAUACUUGAAUUUACUAUAAUCUAUAUGAUUAUAGCGUAAUAAAGCAAUUUAUUACAUAGGAAUAGCUUUUUGAGAAGAAGGUUAAAUUGAGAAUUGAUGAAACUUAAAUGUUUUUACAAGUAACUGUUUUAAAUAUCUGACCUAUCAACUUGAAGGUAUGAUAGAGGCAUACCUAAGUGAUAACGGGUAACGAGAAAUAAGGGUUUGAUUUCGGAGAGGGAGCUUUAAAAAUGGCUACCACUUCUAAGGAAGGCAGCAGGCGCGCAAAUUACCCACUUUUAAUUUAGAGAGGUAGUGACGAUAAUUAAUAGAGUUGGUCUAUUCGAUCAAUUCAAUUAUAAUGAUUAGAGUUUAAAAAAAUUUAAGAAAUCGAUCGGAGGGCAAGUCUGGUGCCAGCAGCCGCGGUAAUUCCAGCUCCAAUAGUG